GACGAACGCUGGCAGCGUGCUUAACACAUGCAAGUCGAACGGUAAGGCCCUUCGGGGUACACGAGUGGCGAACGGGUGGGUAACACGUGGGUGAUCUGCCCUGCACUUCGGGAUAAACCUGGGAAACUGGGUCUAAUACCGGAUAGGACCCUGGGAUGCAUGUCCUGGGGUGGAAAGCUUUUGCGGUGGGGGAUGGGCCCGCGGCCUAUCAGCUUGUUGGUGGGGUGAUGGCCUACCAAGGCGACGACGGGUAGCCGGCCUGCGAGGGUGACCGGCCACACUGGGACUGAGAUACGGCCCAGACUCCUACGGGAGGCAGCAGUGGGGAAUAUUGCACAAUGGGCGCAAGCCUGAUGCAGCGACGCCGCGUGAGGGAUGACGGCCUUCGGGUUGUAAACCUCUUUCAGCACCGACGAAGCGCAAGUGACGGUAGGCGCAGAAGAAGGACCGGCCAACUACGUGCCAGCCGCCGCAGUAA
rnacentral:rRNA from 1 species